AGUUUGAUCCUGGCUCAGGACGAACGCUGGCGGCGUGCCUAAUACAUGCAAGUCGAGCGGACAGAAGGGAGCUUGCUCCCGGAUGUUAGCGGCGGACGGGUGAGUAACACGUGGGUAACCUGCCUGUAAGACUGGGAUAACUCCGGGAAACCGGAGCUAAUACCGGAUAGUUCCUUGAACCGCAUGGUUCAAGGAUGAAAGACGGUUUCGGCUGUCACUUACAGAUGGACCCGCGGCGCAUUAGCUAGUUGGUGGGGUAAUGGCUCACCAAGGCGACGAUGCGUAGCCGACCUGAGAGGGUGAUCGGCCACACUGGGACUGAGACACGGCCCAGACUCCUACGGGAGGCAGCAGUAGGGAAUCUUCCGCAAUGGACGAAAGUCUGACGGAGCAACGCCGCGUGAGUGAUGAAGGUUUUCGGAUCGUAAAGCUCUGUUGUUAGGGAAGAACAAGUGCGAGAGUAACUGCUCGCACCUUGACGGUACCUAACCAGAAAGCCACGGCUAACUACGUGCCAGCAG
rnacentral:rRNA from 1 species